GUGCAUGCAUGUACACUUUUUCCUUGGGUAAUUAGUUUGAUAUAAUAACAUUACACACAGGAAUACAUUGCACAAAGUAGUUUUAAUGCUGACACAUUUACAUUUCAGGACAGAAGAGAGGCCUGUAAAGAAAAGAAAGAUGCAAAGCUGUAGCUUCCAAAAGAAGAAAUUAAAGCUAAUGGAGGCCAUGCUAGAGGAGCAAAAGAAACUGAGCAGAGCCAUGGAAGAAACCUGCCGGGAGGUGCGAAGGAUUCUAGAUCAACAGAACAUUAUCCAAGUUCAGAGUCUGCAGCUGCAAGAGAGAAUGAUGAAUCUAUUGGAAAAAAUGAUCACCAAAGCCAAUGCUUAAUUCCUCCUGGAAAAAAGCAAUAUUAAUCUAUUUUAUAGAAAUGGCUUGUUUCAUAUCCCUAGGAUAGCUUCUUCCUUCCAGUUAAUGAAAUUUUAAACUCAACCUUGAUCUCCAAGAAUCUCCUUUCAUGAAAAUCCAUGCUCUAAUGCCUUGACAUGCUUGGUUUCCUGCUUGAAAGCAGCACAAAUCUUAGCAGUACCUGAAGAAAAACUAAGGUGUAUGAACAAAAGUGAUGUACAGAAGCAAGAAAGUCAGAAGAUGAACUGCUCUGCUGGACUUCAAGCACCAGGUCCAAGCCCAGGCCAAAGAAAGAGGUCCAACUCAACCCCAGGACAAGACGCUCUGGAGACUUCCUGUGCUGAAGAGGAGGUGGGAAAGCUGGAGCUGAGAAGGCAGAGACUGUGACGCUCCCUGCAGGAGAAGCAAGCGGUCCCCCACCCCCAUGCCAAGAAGAUCAGGGAAUGAAUUGCUGGCCAGGCCUGCUGGUGUUCCCCAUCUAAUCUAUUUGCCCUUACCUGAGACUCCAGGAUCCCUGAAGGAUAAUUAAAUAUGUUGAAUGAUCACAUACCGUUGGGAAAAAUAAGUGUGGAAUUCUGAAGGAA